GCCGAGGUGGCGGAAUAGGCAGACGCGCUGGAUUCAGGAUCCAGUGGAGGCAACUCCGUGCGGGUUCAACUCCCGCCCUCGGCA
rnacentral:tRNA from 1 species